rnacentral:rRNA from 1 species
CUCCCUCGUUGCUGAUCUCAGGUUCGAUAAUGCCAAUGAGACACAACCUCGCCAAGAACCAACUUCGAUGAAGCGACGGGCGGUGUGUG